rnacentral:rRNA from 1 species
GACGAACGCUGGCGGCGUGCUUAACACAUGCAAGUCGAACGAAAAGAGGGAAAGAGCUUGCUCUUUCCGGAAUUGAGUGGCAAACGGGUGAGUAACACGUAAACAACCUGCCUUCAGGAUGGGGACAACAGACGGAAACGACUGCUAAUACCGAAUAAGUUCCAAGAGCCGCAUGGCCCAUGGAAGAAAAGGUGGCCUCUACCUGUAAGCUAUCGCCUGAAGAGGGGUUUGCGUCUGAUUAGCUGGUUGGAGGGGUAACGGCCCACCAAGGCGACGAUCAGUAGCCGGUCUGGGAGGAUGAACGGCCACACUGGAACUGGGACACGGGCCAGACUCCUACGGGAGGCAGCAGGGGGGAAUCUUCCGCAAUGGGCGAAAGCCUGAAGGAGCAACGCCGCGGGAGUGAUGACGGCCUUCGGGUUGUAAAACUCUGUGAUCCGGGACGAAAAGGCAGAGUGCGAAGAACAAACUGCAUUGACGGUACCGGAAAAGCAAGCCACGGCUAACUACGUG